GUUUCCCUUGCUGGAGAGAGGCCGCAGCAGCAUGCGGCCCACCGAAGGAGCAAGCCCCGUGACAUGCCAUGCAGGCGGGGUGAAUCUCUCAGGUAAAGCGGACAGCGGGGCAAAU
rnacentral:ncRNA from 2 species